GACUAAGCCAUGCUAGUCUACGGGCUUGUACUCCUUCGCGGGUGCAAGCACCUGCGGACGGCUCACUAACACGUGGACAACCUGCCCUCGGGUGGGGGAUAACCCCGGGAAACUGGGGCUAAUCCCCCAUAGGUGAUGGGUGCUGGAAUGCCCCAUCUCCGAGAGCGCUUAUCGCCCGAGGAUGGGUCUGCGGCGGAUUAGGUAGUUGGUGGGGUAACGGCCCACCAAGCCUAAGAUCCGUACGGGCUGUGGGAGCAGGAUCCCGGAGAUGGACCCUGAGACAAGGGUCCAGGCCCUACGGGGCGCAGCAGGCGCGAAACCUCCGCAAUGCGGGAAACCGCGACGGGGUUAGCCGG
rnacentral:rRNA from 1 species